rnacentral:misc_RNA from 1 species
UUAAGUUCAGCGCGUAUUCCUACCUGAUCCGAGGUCAACCUUAGAAGUUUCCUAGUUAAAGGAGAGGACCGGGUCCCGGGUGCCCUGGUCCGAUACGUGCUCGGUUAAAAGCUCAGUGUACCGGGGGAACCGCAGGCCGCCGUCAUUGUCUUUAGGAGGGGUCGAUCGCUCGACCGGCCGUCCAACACCAAGCACGGGGC